rnacentral:rRNA from 1 species
UUAAGCCAUGCGAGUCGAAUGUAGCAAUACAUGGCGUACUGCUCAGUAACACGUGGACAACCUACCCUCCGGACGGGUAUAAACCCGGGAAACUGGGUAUAAUCCCCGAUAGAUCUCGGUCGCUGGAAAGCUCCGAGAUCGAAAGCUCCGGCGCCAGAGGAUGGGUCUGCGGCCUAUCAGGUAGUAGUGGGUGUAGCGUACCUACUAGCCUACGACGGGUACGGGUUGUGAGAGCAAGAGCCCGGAGAUGGAUUCUGAGACACGAAUCCAGCCUACGGUGCAGCAGCGCNNNC